rnacentral:rRNA from 1 species
UACGAAGGGGGCUAGCGUUGUUCGGAUUUACUGGGCGUAAAGCGCGCGCAGGCGGCACUGUAAGUAAGGUGUGAAAUCUCCCUGCUCAACGGGGAGGGUGCACUUUAGACUGCAGAGCUAGAGGACGGUAGAGGGGGGUGGAAUUGCUGGUGUAGCGGUGAAAUGCGUAGAGAUCAGCAGGAACACCCGUGGCGAAGGCGGCCCCCUGGGCCGAACCUGACGCUGAGGCGCG